UUCAACUCAAUGUUGCAGAGGCACUCCCUAAUGUGUUUACACUGUUAGUAUUUGCAUCUUGGGAUAUGCAGCAUUUGCAUCCAGCCACAUGGUGCGAAAGUUUGUAUUAUGACAUACUUGAAAUUCAAAUGGAGAAAUUCAGAGCAAAGGGGACAGCUGCUUAUGCCUGAUAAACGCCUGGUAUUUGGCACGGCGAGAGAUGGGAGACAGGGAGCAAAAAGGAAUGUAAAAAAAAAGAAAAAGGCAAGGAGUGCGGCACAUUGAUUGAGACAACAGAGGGUGAAGGAGGCAGUGAGGAUUAAAGAGCAAUGAUUUUGGCAUCAGCUACUACGAGAGGCAGAGGGGAAGGAGGGGAGUGGAGGAAGAAGAUGACGUCUAAUUGUGACCUAGAUUCCCAGACACCCAGACAUAAUAGCUAGGCCCUUACCCCACAUGAACCCCCUCUCUCCCCAAAAACCUCACCUCAGUCAGAAAAUAACAGAAAUGUGGGAGCUGCAGGAAGAGAUGGGGGCCCAGUUUGGGGACGGUUCCAGCCCACCGACCCUCAGAUCUCCUCCACACAUGCACAGCACUCGACUGCCCUGUCAUUAACUCCCAGCAGCUGUUGGACCCAAACGUCUGGAAAUUCCUGGAAAGACAACUUGAGGAAUGUUGGGGCAAUGUUUGAAUAAGCGUCUACUGGGGUCCUUUGAACUAUGUCUACAUUUAUUUAAUUCAGUUUGGUUUCCUUUGUCAGGAGUAGGAGAACAGUUUUUCAAACAAAAGGACCAUAUAAUAUACUGUACAAAGUUUGGCCAAAAAGUUGGGUAAAACUACUAGCCGGACUUUUCUGUCAAAUCAAUGGAACUAUAGUUUGUCACCUAUAAAACAUGUCAUUGUAAUUUU